GAUGAACGCUGGCGGCGUGCCUAAUACAUGCAAGUCGAGCGAACAGACGAGGAGCUUGCUCCUCUGACGUUAGCGGCGGACGGGUGAGUAACACGUGGAUAACCUACCUAUAAGACUGGGAUAACUUCGGGAAACCGGAGCUAAUACCGGAUAAUAUAUUGAACCGCAUGGUUCAAUAGUGAAAGACGGUUUUGCUGUCACUUAUAGAUGGAUCCGCGCCGCAUUAGCUAGUUGGUAAGGUAACGGCUUACCAAGGCAACGAUGAGUAGCCGACCUGAGAGGGUGAUCGGCCACACUGGAACUGAGACACGGUCCAGACUCCUACGGGAGGCAGCAGUAGGGAAUCUUGCGCAAUGGGCGAAAGCCUGACGGAGCAACGCCGCGUGAGUGAUGAAGGUCUUCGGAUCGUAAAGCUCUGUUAUUAGGGAAGAACAAAUGUGUAAGUAACUAUGCACGUCUUGACGGUACCUAAUCAGAAAGCCACGGCUAACUACGUG
rnacentral:rRNA from 1 species